GUUUGGUUUGUUACGGGUGGUUGGCUCUUUGCUUGUGCAACAACUUCCACCUGGCUUACCUUUUUCAGUCCCUUGUCAAAUGCUUGUAAAGCAUUAGAUUAAGCAAUGGUUUCUUGUGUUGCAUACCAACUUGACGGAAUAGAGUGAUGGCUAAAUCUUUUGUUCUUCAUCUUACAUCUUAAAUGUGAUGUGAGAUGAACUUGUAAGCGUUCUUUGUGGACCACAUCCUUAAAUGCUUGUACAUUCAUUGAUGUGGGUCACUUUGAGUUGCUUGGUCUCUUGGGUAUGGAACUUGAUGUGGGCAUGGGACUUUAAGAGUCCUUAUGUUGUCCUGCUUUAGCGAUUAUCUUAUACGAUUGUCUAUCACGUAUGGCUCGUCUAAGCGUGAUAGACUAUGUCGAAGAUGAAUGCUACCUGGUUGAUCCU
rnacentral:misc_RNA from 1 species